rnacentral:rRNA from 1 species
GAUGAACGCUAGCUACAGGCUUAACACAUGCAAGUCGAGGGGAAACGACAUCGAAAGCUUGCUUUUGAUGGGCGUCGACCGGCGCACGGGUGAGUAACGCGUAUCCAACCUGCCCACCACUUGGGGAUAACCUUGCGAAAGUAAGACUAAUACCCGAUGAUAUCCCUAGAAGACAUCUGAAAGGGAUUAAAGAUUUAUCGGUGAUGGAUGGGGAUGCGUCUGAUUAGCUUGUUGGCGGGGUAACGGCCCACCAAGGCAACGAUCAGUAGGGGUUCUGAGAGGAAGGUCCCCCCACAUUGGAACUGAGACACGGUCCAAACUCCUACGGGAGGCAGCAGUGAGGAAUAUUGGUCAAUGGGCGAGAGCCUGAACCAGCCAAGUAGCGUGCAGGACGACGGCCCUAUGGGUUGUAAACUGCUUUUAUAAGGGAAUAAAGUGAGUCUCGUGAGACUUUUUGCAUGUACCUUAUGAAUAAGGACCGGCUAAUUCCGUG